GACGAACGCUGGCGGCGUGCUUAACACAUGCAAGUCGAGCGAGGUCCAACCGGUGGCAACACCGGGGAAGACCUAGCGGCGAACGGGUGAGUAACACGUGAGAAACCUGCCCCCGAAGUUCGGGAUAACCCGGGGAAACCCGAGCUAAUACCGGAUACCCACGAUUGGUCGCAUGGCCGAUCGUGGAAAGAACUUCGCUUCGGGAGGGUCUCGCGGCCUAUCAGCUUGUUGGUGGGGUAACGGCCCACCAAGGCAUCGACGGGUAGCUGGUCUGAGAGGACGAUCAGCCACACUGGGACUGAGACACGGCCCAGACUCCUACGGGAGGCAGCAGUGGGGAAUCUUGCGCAAUGGGCGAAAGCCUGACGCAGCAACGCCGCGUGCGGGAUGAAGGCCUUCGGUUGUAACCGCUUUCAGUAGGACGAAAUUAGACGGUACCUACAGAAGAAG
rnacentral:rRNA from 1 species